rnacentral:rRNA from 1 species
UACGUAGGGUGCAGGCGUUAAUCGGAAUUACUGGGCGUAAAGCGUGCGCAGGCGGUCUCUUAAGACAGGUGUGAAAUCCCCGAGCUUAACUUGGGAACUGCGCUUGUAACUGAGAGGCUAGAGUGUGGCAGAGGGGGGUGGAAUUCCACGUGUAGCAGUGAAAUGCGUAGAGAUGUGGAGGAACACCGAUGGCGAAGGCAGCCCCCUGGGUCAACACUGACGCUCAUGCACGAAAGCGUGGGGAGCAAACAGG